AUGAAACACCAUCGGGCGGUCUUUUUGAAGCUAGACUUCCACAAGGAAUACGACACGGUCCACUGGCCCUUCUUGCGGGAAGUGUUGCUUCGCAAGGGCUUCGACGACCGGUGGGUGACUAGGGUCAUGCAACUUGUCUCCUGUGGCCGGACCGAUGUGAACAUCAAUGGGGACAUCGGGCCCUACUUCCCCACCCUCUGUGGGGUUCGCCAGGGUGACCCUUUCUCGCCGUUCCUGUUCAACAUGGUGGUUGAUGCCCUUGCAUCCAUCCUUGAUAAGGCCAAGGAUGCUGGCCAUAUUCGCGACAUCGUCCCCCACCUAGUCGGAGGGGGAGGGGUCUCCCUCCUCCAAUAUGCGGACGAUACCAUUAUUAUGGUGGAGGGCUCCGUCCAAGACAUUGCUAACCUAAAGUUCCUCCUCCUGUGCUUCCAACAGAUGUCGGGCCUAACCAUCAACUUCGAUAAGAGUGAAGUGAUGGUUCUCGGGUUCCCUUUGGAGGAAGCACAGGCCAUAGCGGACCGGCUUAAUUGUCGGUUGGGUUCUUUCCCCACGACAUACCUGGGGAUCCCCAUUAGUGACUCGCGCCUCACCGUGGCGGACCUCCGCCCCACGGUGAGCUGCUCGCGUGAUCCUUAUCAACUCUUCACUUGCUAG
rnacentral:rRNA from 1 species